rnacentral:rRNA from 1 species
CCUACGGGUGGCAGCAGUGAGGAAUAUUGGUCAAUGGGCGCAAGCCUGAACCAGCCAAGUCGCGUGAAGGAUGACUGCCCUACGGGUUGUAAACUUCUUUUAUAGAGGAAUAAAGUGAGGCACGUGUGCCUUUUUGUAUGUACUUUAUGAAUAAGGAUCGGCUAACUCCGUGCCAGCAGCCGCCGUAAUCCGGAGGAUCCGAGCGUUAGCCGGAUUUAUUGGGGUUAAAGGGAGAGUAGAUGGGUUGUUAAGUCAGUUGUGAAAGUUUGCGGCUCAACCGUAAAAGUGCAAUUGAUACUGGCAGACUAGAGUACAGUUGAGGUAGGCGGAAUUCGUGGUGUAGCGGUGAAAUGCGUAGAUAUCACGAAGAACUCCGAUGGCGAAGGCAGCUUACUAAACUGUAACUGACAUUGAGGCUCGAAAGUGUGGGUAGCAAACAGGAUUAGAUACCCCGGUAGUC